UGCUGCAGAGGAGUCUGCCCAGGAUGAACCACAUCUUGAGCCUUAUGCAUCUGCCAUUCAGAGGACAUUUAAAGGAGAUUUUGGACUUGAAGUUGGUGCUGGGACAAGUUGACCUUGGGAGACCAUUGGAAAGAGAUGAGAUAUGAGCACACAGUGUUCUUACAGUCUGGAAGACACAGGCACAAGGCACCACCAGAGAGCAGAGACCAGGCCCUUAUCAGAUACCCAACCUGUGGGCUCCUUGGACUUCCUGCCUCCUGAACUGCGAGAAAUACACUUAUAUGUCUAGAUAAA